GAGGAGGAGGAAAAGAAGGAGGAAGAGGAGGAGGAGGAGGAAGAGGAGGAGGAGGAGGAGAAAGUAGCUCUCAGCAGCCGGCCGGAUUAAAAGUAACCAGACUCGUCCAGAAAACUGCGUCCAGGAAGGAAGUGACAGAAGACGAAUGGGAAAAGGAGAGCCGCUCGCAGCCUUUGAAACAUCGCACAACAUCGCGAGCGGCGGCUCCUCGCUCUCCCCACGCUGCCGCUGAGAACGCUCGGAGAACCAUCUCCGGCUGCCGCGCGCUCGCUCCCCGGGGACUCUGCGAGCCAGCCAGCAGGAAAGUCCUUCUAAAGUCGGAAUCUUUCCUCUGACCAAUAGGAGCGCGACCCUAAUAGUUGCUCUCGUGACUUUUCCCCGGUUUGGAGACGUGUUAACCACUUCUUUCUUCCACCGGUCCGAGCGCUCCUCUGUUACUCACGCGUAGAAGCCACCGUCCAGGAUGUCUGCAGCACUCGAUUCCAGCGCGCUUUUCCUGCACGCCCAGAAUAGGCGGUUUUCGGCCCUGAAAGGCUGGAGGACUAAAAAGCGUGCCGAAAUACUUCUCAUGUGUUAGUAAUGUACAAAAUAAUAAAAUAAUUACCAGUA